rnacentral:rRNA from 1 species
GUAAUGGCAGGUCAGCAUACUGCCGUGAAUACGUUCCCGGGCCUUGUACACACCGCCCGUCACACCAUGAGAGUUGGGGAUACCCGAAGCCUGUGAGCUAACUUAACGGAGGCAGCAGUCGAAGGUAGAAUCAAUGAUUGGGGUGAAGUCGUAACAAGGUACC